UCUAAUGCUUUACAGGAACAUAUGUGCCUGU
rnacentral:piRNA from 1 species